UUUGCAAAGUCAAGGUUUGUUUUGGAUGACUUGGAUUUUGUGAAAUAAAAUAUGAUUUACGUUUUGGGUGAUUUCAAGAGUUUUGUAAUAGAUCUACAAAUGAAAUUUUUUGGAUUAAUAGUUAUAGUUGUUAUAAAUUUGAGCUCGAUCUAACGAUUGAAUUGAAGGUUAUUGAGGUUUAAGUGAGUCAAGAUCUCAAAAAGUAGAAUUUUAGGUCUAGUGAGAGUUUUUAAGAUUUCUUAUAAUUUAGUAAUUGUAUUGGAGUGAAAUUUAUGUGAAAGGAUAUUAGACUUCUUUUUCUAUAUAUAUGAGAAUUUUAAAAUCAAUCGAAUGGUGAAAAAGAAAGAUAUUUACUCUAGGAGAUUGGCAUCAAGAUUGGAGAAGGAUGUUGACGAAUACCUGAGCACAUUUUUGAAGUUAUGUGUAUUUGAUAAUUUCGAUCUUUUUAAAACUUUUUAUGCUUAUUUUAAAUUAAGUUUUUAAGAAGUAUGAAAAUUUUGAGUUAAGAUCAACGAUUUAUUCAUUAAUUAUUGAGGUUUAAAUCUAUUGUAGGAUUUAGGAUUUGGGUUAGGAUUUGGUUAGGGUUUGAUUUAGGAUUUAAGGUUUGGUUUAGGGUUUGAUUGGGAUUUGAUUUAGAAUUUAAUUUAGGAUUAGGAUUUAGUUAGGAUUUGAUUUAGGAUUUAGGAUUUGAUUAGGAUUUGGUUUAGGGUUUGUUUAGGAUUUGGUUUAGGGUUUAGGAUUUUAUUAGGAUUUAUUAAGAUUUAAGAUUUAGUUAGUUUUGGCCUAAAGUUUGAAUAAAGUCCAAUAGGAUUUUAACUAAGAUUAAAUUAAUAUUAAAUUGAGAUAUAUUUUAGAUAUAUUUGUGAUCAAUCUAAUAUUUCUUUAAGAUUUCUUAUUGUUUCUUUGAAAUUUCUUUGAAGUCUCUUUGAAUUUGAUUAAAGCUUGUUUAGAAUUGUUAAUAUUCUAUUAGAAUUAGGAUUUUGUUGUUGCAAUUUACAUUCUACCUUCCACAGCCAGAUGUGCUGAGUAUUUUCAAAAAAGACUUCACGUAUUAUGAUACUGCUCUUUAUGGAAGUCAUUCCU
rnacentral:lncRNA from 1 species